AGGACGAACGCUGGCGUCGUGCUUAACACAUGCAAGUCGAACGGUGAAGGAGAGCUUGCUCUCCGGAUCAGUGGCGAACGGGUGAGUAACACGUGAGUAACCUGCCCUUGACUCUGGGAUAGGCGUUGGAAACGACGUCUAAUACCGGAUACGAGCUUCAGCCGCAGUGGCUAGGAGCUGGAAAGAGUUUCGGCAAGGAUGGACUCGCGCCUAUCAGCUAGUUGGUGAGGUAAUGGCUCACCAAGGCGACGACGGGUAGCCGGCCUGAGAGGGUGACCGGCCACACUGGAACUGAGACGACGGCCCAGACUCCGUACGGGAGGCGAGC
rnacentral:rRNA from 1 species